rnacentral:rRNA from 1 species
AGUGAACGCUGGCGGUAGGCCUAACACAUGCAAGUCGAACGGCAGCACAGUAAGAGCUUGCUCUUACGGGUGGCGAGUGGCGGACGGGUGAGGAAUACAUCGGAAUCUACUUUUUCGUGGGGGAUAACGUAGGGAAACUUACGCUAAUACCGCAUACGACCUACGGGUGAAAGCAGGGGAUCUUCGGACCUUGCGCGAUUGAAUGAGCCGAUGUCGGAUUAGCUAGUUGGCGGGGUAAAGGCCCACCAAGGCGACGAUCCGUAGCUGGUCUGAGAGGAUGGUCAGCCACACGGGAACUGAGACACGGUCCAGACUCCUACGGGAGGAAGCAGUGGGGAAUAUUGGACAAUGGGCGAAAGCCUGAUCCAGCCAUACCGCGUGGGUGAAGAAGGCCUUCGGGUUGUAAAGCCCUUUUGUUGGGAAAGAAAAGCAGCAGGUUAAUACCCCGCGGUUCUGACGGUACCCAAAGAAUAAGCACCGGCUAACUUCGUG